AUUUUAACCACCUUUUCUUAAUGAAACCUGGAUUUCAAGCACUAUUUCCUAGUAGAAAUUGAAUAAUGUAGUAAAGAAAUCGACUACUUCAUUUCUAAAUUUAUAACUCAAAUCCAGGAGCAGGUUUAGUCACACUGAGUCUGAAUUGCCAGCAGAUAGUUUUAAUGAAAUGUUCACAAAUGACUAUAUUGCUACGUAACAAGAAUAAUAAAUUCUGCUGUUUACACUUCCAAGAAAUUAAAGGGGAUGAAAGAUACAUUGGUCCCUGCAGUGGGAAGUUUCCUUGACAAUGCAAUUAUUGAUUCCAGGCACAUGACAGAAUUGCUCUGUUGAAGUUUUGCAAGGUCAAAUGACUCACUUUGUCUAAUGGAACGGGAACGAACAAUUUUUUUGUGUCACGUUUGAACAGAUACCUUUGAGAAGUUUAUGAUUCUCCAAGUUCUCUUUCUCCUACUGUGGCACCUACUGACAAGAUAAAUGUGUAGAGGUUCCUGAGUCUAGGGGCACUGGAACCAGCUGACUGAUCUAUGGAAGUUCCCUUGGUCUCCAUUUGUUUAGAAAAGGGACUGGUCAAAGGCUGACGUUUGCUUUUGGUGACAUUGCAUUAAUUGUCUCCCAUGAGACUGCUAGGGUGCUGAAGGGAUGAAGAAACUGAGGCCCACAGAAGGUGGGUGAUACCUGCAAAAUCACAAGCUUUCAUGGUGAAAGAAGAGGGCAAAACUCAACCCGUCUCUUUAGACUUGGGAAGAAUAUGAAAGGACCAGGAGGGACACCUUUCCUAAUAACCUAGCUGAUGGUUCACUUAUUAGGCUGGAAAGCUGAAAAAUGACAUUCCCAGACUCCAUUGAAAUUAGAUUUCCAGAGAGUUGUCUCACUAAGCCCAAAUUUGUCUAACUGGCCUUAUUUCCCUGGAGUAUAUCCUGGAAGUUUCCAUUCAAGCCAAUUUAAGUUACUUUAAAUUAGGAAAGGCAGAAAACAAAAGCCCAAACCUUUGUAAAGGAGGAGGAUUUGCUACAUUGUUCUCAAUUCAUCACAGAAGAGGAUGAAACUGAGUGAUUACACUUGCUGGAGAGAAAAAAAGUCCUUCCCCCGCUCACCCCAAAUAAAGCAUUAACUUUAUGUUAAUCCAUGAA
rnacentral:lncRNA from 10 species